AACGAACGCUGGCGGCAGGCCUCAAACAUGCAAGUCUAGGGGGGUGCAGCAAUGCAUCACCGGCGGACGGGUGCGUAACGCGUGGGAAUAUACCUUUUGGUUCGGAACAACUGCGGGAAACUGCAGCUAAUACCGAAUGUGCCCUAACGGGGAAAGAUUUAUCGCCAAAGGAUUAGCCCGCGUAGGAUUAGCUAGUUGGUGAGGUAAUGGCUCACCAAGGCUCCGAUCCUUAGCUGUUCGAGAGGAAGAUCAGCCACACUGGGACUGAGACACGGCCCAGACUCCUACGGGAGGCAGCAGUUGGGAAUCUUGGACAAGU
rnacentral:rRNA from 1 species